CAGAUGUUUUAAAGGAGCUACCAGGAGUUUCUCAACCGUGGCAUUAGCACUCCAUGUUGGCUCAGCUGAUGCUGAUUUUCAAUGUGAAUUCUUACUGUACUAAAAAUUGAACUACAGUUUCAUGUGAUCAAAUUCAUGUAAACCUUGACAACUUGUUGGAGUCACUUAAAGAAUUGUAGGAGCUCAAAAUGGGCCAGAAAAGGUUGAGAAACCCUGAUUUGAAAGAGAGAAUUGCACUCCUUCGGAUUCACUAUCAACUUUUUUUCAAAAAAAUCAAAAUCGAUGCAGCAGAACCAGAGAUAUUGUUUUUUCUUUUACUCACGCAUUCUCCCUGUCUGCCUACAUUACCCAUAAUGCAACUCAACCACAGACAGCUGUGGUAGACGAGCAAUGUGGCCUGAGCAGGGAUGAGGAGCUGAAUACAGAGGUCUGGAAGAAGAACCCUAAUCGUUUCUGCCAAGGUGAAAAAGUGUGCCAAAUCAAGGUCUUUUGCACCAGAGGCCGCAGUCUCCACACCUCCUGUCUCAGACCAACAGUAAAUCUAUGUUUCUGUUGGAAUCCAUUGUAACUGCUGUGAAUCCAAGCGGACUAAGGCCGAGGGAGCAAGACCCAAACGUUUCAGAGCCACCUACAAGGGAUCUGUAAACUGAGAGCCUAGGAUGCUUCUACAAGACCUGCUGUUGUGUUAUGUGUUGCUGGUUGACGUGGACGGCAACGUGAAGCAAUGAAUGUAGAGGUGUCUUGGUAGGGCAGAUGAAAGCACCCGGGGCUGUCGUCGUCAGGUGACCAGAAGGAGGACGGCCUCUUGUGGUGGAGUUCUCGACGAACGCAGCGAGGACACGGCUGAGCUUUCUGUCGACACUCCGUGUGGAACACGGCGCCACAGCCGUCACACCUGCAAACACAAAGAUCAACACACAGGUACACUCUCAAUGCAAUGUUCUUGUUUCAACUCAUCGCCUUCUGAAGAACCUCUCCAGAUGCUUCUGCAGAACAGGAUUUCUCAAGGUAGACUGAACAUGAGGCAAAUUUUGGACCGACACAUGGAUUCAAUCUUGGAAUAGUCCACUCAAGUUAAAAUGUUUAAAUUUGAGGGAAAGAAAUGUUGCUUAUAAGGCGUUUGACUCCACUUCAUGAACAUGAGAGGAAAAAGAAGAACAUUUAAAUUAAAAAAGAACUGGAGUUCCUGGUAAGUUUUAGAUCAAAGUCAAAGCUGUCACUCAAACACACGUUACAUUGCUAGCUAGCUACAACUAAUGAUUGUACAGUUUUUUAGUUUGUGACGAAUAAAACGCUCACCGACAAAUUUGCAAAAAUAAAGCGAGGUAAAAAUUUG